UACGUAGGGUGCGAGCGUUGUCCAGAAUUAUUGGGCGUAAAGGGCUCGUAGGCGGUUUGUCGCGUCGGGAGUGAAAACUCAGGGCUUAACCCUGAGCCUGCUUCCGAUACGGGCAGACUAGAGGUAUGCAGGGGAGAGCGGAAUUCCUGGUGUAGCGGUGAAAUGCGCAGAUAUCAGGAGGAACACCGGUGGCGAAGGCGGUUCUCUGGGCAUUACCUGACGCUGAGGAGCGAAAGUGUGGGGAGCGAACAGG
rnacentral:rRNA from 1 species